GGGAUAACCCCGGGAAACUGGGGAUAAUACCGGAUAAAUCACAAGUACUGGAAGGUUUUGUGGUUGAAACUUCCGGGGCCUUUGGAUGGGUCUGCGGCUGAUUAGGUUGUUGCCGGUGUAACGUACCGUCAAGCCUGUAAUCAGUACGGGUUGUGGGAGCAAGAGCCCGGAGAUGGAUUCUGAGACACGAAUCCAGGCCCUACGGGGCGCAGCAGGCGCGAAAACUCUACAAUGCAGGCAACUGCGAUAGGGGAACAUCGAGUGAUACUCAUCUUGGGUGUCUGUCCUCCCGUCUAAAAAACGGGAGUUAGCAAGGGCCGGGCAAGACCGGUGCCAGCCGCCGCGGUAAUACCGGCGGCUCGAGUGGUGGCCGAUAUUAUUGAGUCUAAAGGGUCCGUAGCCGGCUUUGCAAGUCUUUUGGGAAAUCCAGCGGCUUAACCGUUGGUCGUCCGGGAGAUACUACAUUGCUUGGGACUGGGAGAGGUAGGAGGUACUCAGGGGGUAGGAGUGAAAUCCUGUAAUCCUUUGGGGACCACCGGUGGCGAAGGCGUCCUACCAGAACAGGUCCGACGGUGAGGGACGAAAGCUAGGGGCACGAACCGGAUUAGAUACCCGGGUAGUCCUAGCCGUAAACGAUGCUCGCUAGGUGUCACAACAAUCGUGAAUUGUUGUGGUGCCGUAGGGAAGCCGUGAAGCGAGCCACUUGGGAAGUACGACCGCAAGGUUGAAACUUAA
rnacentral:rRNA from 1 species